rnacentral:lncRNA from 1 species
AACCUUCCAAGCUAAGAAAUCUUAUGGUUGGUGGAUUACAAGGAGAAGAAUGGAAAUUUAUACAAAAAUAUCUGAAGAAAAGAUCUAAAAGAGUCGGUGCACAAAUAUCAGGAAGCACUAAGGACAUUUCGCAGCUGAAAACGAGGUCUGCGAAAUAUUUUUGCAACAACAAGUUAAACUCUCAGGGCUGCGAAAUUGGAUUCCACCUUGAGGUUCUCAGCGUUCCAGCUUGCAGCAUGUAUCGGGUAGCUUCAGGAGGAAUUCCAUAGCACUGUACAAAAAGGCUGCGAAAUUCUCGCAACAAAAGGAUGAUUUCGCAACACUUUGGAGUGAUCUGCUUGCAAUGGCUGUAACUCCUUCGUUUCAACUCCGAAUCGAGCACCGUUUGAAGCAUUGGAUUCUUGACUUCCUGAGCUUUGAAAUGGUAUAUAGAAUGUAGAAAAUGGACUUCGGGAAGUGCUCCAAAAGUGCAAAAUAAGACUGCAGCUAGCUUUCCUCUGUUUUCUUCACUCUGUUUUUCCUCUCUCCUGUGCUCUUUCCUUGCAUACUUUGAACGACUAAGGCAAAGGACUAUGAGGCUCCAAAGCUUGGUUCUUCAUGAAUUUGAGCUUCCAAAAGCUUUGCCAUGGAUUCCAAAUAACUCUCCUCAAUCUUGGAUUGUUUUGGUGAUCAAAUUACUAACAAAAACACCAAAACUUACACAAUUUGAUUAGAAUUGAUUGCAAGGGUCCUUAACAUGUUAAUUGGGUUAAAAGGCAAUAACUACUACUCAAAAGUGUUUAAAAGAGUUAAUUACAAGCUAUGAAAUAGCACUUUUUGAGUAGUAAUCAAUGAUUGACUUUUUUGUCAAACUACCAAGGCCUACCCAAUAAAAUGUGACCCACAUGCAUUGGAACAAUAUCACAAAGUACUUCAUCCUUGUACCUCCCAAUUGAAAAAGAAACCAGCACUUGCUUAUUUACCUUAACCUCUCCACAAUCAUUCAACCACUGCAACUUAAAUGGUCUAGGGUGUUUCAAGGUAGGUAAAUUCAAAUUUUCAACUAAAGUAGUGCUAGCCACAUUAGUACAGCUCCCCCCAUCAAUGAUCAUACUACAUACCUUAUUGUUGAUGUGGCAUCUAGUAUGAAAAAUAUUCUCCCUUUGUUGUUCCAUGUCAUCCUCUUUAACUUGGGCACUUAAAGCACGCCUAGCCACAAGUGACUCACCCUCCAUUGGAUACUCUACAUUAUCAUCACAAGCAUCCUCCAGUGAUGGCAUCUGGUCAUCAUCUUCCUCACUUUCAGUUUCCACCUCUCCAUCAACACGUGCGAUCAUGGUUCUCUUAUUUGGGCAUUUUGAAGUUAUAUGACCUACUCCCAAACAACGAAAACACUUAAUAUCAUGAUUACGAGUUUGGGAUUCAUUUUUACCUUUGUUGACAUUGGGAGCUUCAUCUCUCCUUUUUGGUGGUUCGGUUUUGGACUUAAAAACAACCCCUUCAUCUUUCCUCCCAUUUGGCUUCCAUGAAGCAGAGAAGCUAGGAUUUUGAAAUGACCGAGUUCCUUUCCUUUUAAGCUGUUGUUCCACCUUUAUUGCCAUGUGCACCAUGUCCUCCAACUCCACAUAGUGUUGUAACUCCACCACGUUGGGAAUGUCCCGAUUCAACCCAUUCAAAAACCUUGCCAUAGUAGCUUCUCUAUCCUCCUCUACAUUAGCCCGAAUUAUGGCAAUCUCCAUCUCCUUGUGAUAGUCAUCCACGCUCCUAUAGCCUUGAGUAAGACUAUAAUUUCUGAUACAAGUCCCUAUAGUAGUGACUAGGGAUAAACCGCCUCCUCAUGGUGGCUUUCAUUUCCUCCCAUGUCUCAAUAGACCUAUCAUAGUUUCUUCUUCUGUUCAUCACAGGUUGAUCCCACCAUAUAAUAGCAUAGUCAGUAAACUCAAUCGCAACUAGUUUUACCUUUUUCUCCUCGGAGUAGUUAUGGCACUCAAAGAUGAACUCCACCUUCUUCUUCCACUCCAAGUACACUUCUGGAUCAUUUUUCCCUUGGAAUGAUGGUAUCUUCAUUUUGAUGUUUCCUAGGUUUCUAUAAGUCCCAUCUUGCCAUCUUGGAGCUCUUCGGAAACCUCUACCACGCCUUUCUCCCCUUGGCGCAAACCUGUCCUCAUGGUUCAAUGAAGCUUGAUCCUCUCAUCUUCAAACCCAUCCUCAUGGUAGUCAUUAGAAUCAUCAACGUGCGCACGCUUUCCUUGCCUUCUAGCAUUAGGGGCUCUUUGGGUACGCUCCUCACGCAAAGAAGUGAUAACAGUGUCUUGCCUAUCCAUCUGAUCCUAAAUAUCAUUAAACACCACAUUCAUGCAUUCAAAUUGUUGUUGCAUAACCUGCAACAUGAGGGAUGACUCCUCCCCUCCUUCCUUAUUUGAUGUUUCGCCCUUGGAAGACAUAUUUUUGAAACUACAAAAAAAUGUUAGAAAUGAUUCCUCACAACACUCCCUCACGUGUUUGCACUCACACUCGUGUUUCACUCUUAAAUUGGCCUUUUCCAGAUAUUAGUCUCACACUCUCUUGCCUUUUUCCACUCGUAGUUUCCCCUUUUCAGUUCUACUUAAACUAAUAAACUUGAUCAAGAAAUUCAACUUGUAGUAUUUAAACUAAUGCCAAUGGCAAGAAAAUAUGACAGAAACAUUAAAUCAAAGGAAGAUGACAAAAGAAAAUAAUAUUUUGAUUUGAGAGAAUUGAAACUACACAAUUAUUUUUUAUUUUUUUAUUUUUGUUGUUUUCUAUUUCAUUUUUAAAGUUUUUUUUUUUUUUUUUUGGAGCUUGGUACACGAUUUUAACCUAGUGCACAUCAAAAAAAUAAGAACAAGGAAUAAAGAACACAAAAAGAAUAAGAUAGGAUGAUAAUAGGAAACAAAAGAUAAAUGGAUAGAAAAUUGAUUUUAGAUCCUGUGCUCUGAUACCAAAUGAUGCGAACCUCAAUCGACAUGCUUUGAGAUCCAACAAACAGUAUUGGAAUAAUUGCCCAAGAAAGCCAAAAUACAGAUUUUUGAUAGAACCUUGACCCAACGUUUAUAAGUGAAACGCGAACAAAAAGUAUAAGUAACAGACCUUGACCCAAUGAUUACAAUGGAAUUAUGAACCGAAGGUAUAAAGUUUGAAUGCCACAAGGAAUAAUCCUUAAUAAGUUCACAAUUCUUGAAGAACCAAAAGAAGAGCAAAGCCUCACCUUUUCUGAUUUUUUAUUCAAUCAAAAUUCUUCCAUAUUACAAAGAGUGCAUGCUAUUUAUAUGUCAUGACAAAAAAACUUACUAAAUAUUAAAACCCUAAAUAAAAGUUGAUUUGGUCUGAAAUUAGCAGAUCCAAAAUAGGAAAAUAGCUAAAAAAACGUUCUAAAUAAUAAAAGCCUAAAAUUAAGAUAGAUUUGGCCUGAAAUUAGAAGCUCUAGAAUAGGAAAAAUGUCUAUUAACUGAUAUGGAGUUGGAAAGUCAAUCAGUCAUUAAUCCACGCCAUAAAUCACGUCCAAUCAAGCCAGAUUAGCCCUCAAUAGCUUGGAUUAAAUUUAUUACACCUUCAUCUUCCUUUGGGCCAAGCUUGGAAUAUCCUACGUUAGAAUAAGCCCUAAUAUCUUGAAUUAGCCCAUUAAGUGCUACUUUGAUCUUCUUGGAUAUUGCUUUAGUAAUAGGCUCAACUGGAACAUGUAGUGGAUCCUUAAAUGCUUGUUGAUUCUCAUCAUUGAUUCUUAUAAUUCUCUCAGACAACUAUGUCCGUUCUAGCUGGUGUUUAGAUGAACUGGUCAAGAUCAUGAAGUGCAGGAAAGAAAUGGGAAAAAUUGUUUUCCCAGUUUUCCAUCAUGUUGAUCCUUCCCAUGUGCGAACUCAGAGGGGUAGUUACGGACGAUGGAUGGUCGAUCAUGAAAGAAAAGGUUUUGACGAGAAGAUACAAAGGUGGAGAGCAGCUUUGAGGGAAGUGGGCUAUAUUUCUGGAUGGCAUGUACAACUUGUUCCACAUAAUCUCUUACAAGUAUCCUCAAUUUUUUUAUACAUAUUGAUAAAAUAGAAAUCUAUUAAAAGUUAUAAUUGGCAUAUGCAUCUUAUCCUAAAAAGUCAAAAUGUUAUGUCUCCUUUCAAUCAGAUUUGUCAUGUGGGAAUUUGAAAUGGUUCUUCCCAAUUAAGUGACCAUUUAAUUUACAAAUUUAGGGCCUUUACAUCAUAAUAAUAAAGCAACCUAGCAAACUAAAGUUGUUAUAUAAUGAUAUCAAGUAUUGGAAACCGAAAUAGUAAGUAGUGCAUUUUCAUCAAUUAAAAUAGAAAAAAAAUCAUACAUUUUCUUAACCAUUUCUCCAAAUAUAUUAUGGGAAAAAUAAUGGUUAGGAAUGUGACCAAUUGAAAUAUAAAAGACAAAUAUGAUGUUUUUUAUCAUAAAAGAUUCGAUUUGGAGGAGCUUUUUCUAUAAAUGAUAUAGCAUUACUCUUUCAAAAUAUGAGUUGCAUAUAAAGGUAUUAAGACUUGAAGUCAUACGGAUGAGACUCAAGAUGGAAGGCAAAAGUUUCUUAAUGAGACUUUAAUAUUUGAUACUUUUAAAAUGUCAUCUAUCCUUUUGUUUUAUUCAAAAUAGUCUUCCAAACUUUAUCUUUAUCCUUGAAUUGUGAAAAAGAGACUCAUUGUUUAAUUUGUUCACAAAAAAAAAAAAAAAAAAAAAAAAAACCUAUAGAUUUCCAUUUUGUUGUAGAGGAAUGGAGAUUUUUGUGUUUAUAUAUGAAAAUGAUGAUGUUAUAUUUGGAAUUGUACAUGUGAUUAAGACACAUUGCUUUUACUGCUAUGGUAAUCUUUGAUAAUUGUCAAAAGUAAGAUUUCAUUGUAAUAAACUUUAUGAAAGGUAAUAAGUUGAUUUUAGUAAAAUAAUAUCUUUUUUCUUCACCAUUUAUUUCUUUCUUAGGAUCUUAUACACCAUAUAAUUGCACACUUUCCAACGAUUUAUUGUCUUCAACAUUGUCUCAUUUCAAGGUUUACAUUGCUUUGAUUAAAAUUAAUUGUUUCAAAUCCAAAAUAAUGUUGUCUUCUUUUCCUUCUACUAAAAUUUAGUUAAUUUCUUGUUUCUUUCCAUUCUUUUAUUAGGUUAAUAUUUUGGUACGUAUUUGCAAACAACUAUUCUUGAUUUCCUUUUUUUUUUUUUGAAGUGUUUUGAGCUAGAUCAAAUACCAUUUUAGGACUGGCCCUAAUUGAAAAGAAGCUUAUGAAAAUAAUUGUGUAAAAUUUCAAAUAAAGGCCAACAUCAUCUAAGAAGGGAGGUGAGUAAUCUUCCAAUAUGAAUGGAGGUGGGAAAGAUGAAAUAAUGUUAUCUUCAAUUGUGAUGAAAACAUUUAAAGACAAUUUAUUUGUUACCGAAACUAUAUGUCAAUAUUUCCUCCCUAAAUGUAAGUGGAAAUAUUUGGAGAUAAAAUUAUUUCAUUGCAGAAACUCUAUGUCAACAUGAUGGAGAUGAAAAUAUUUCAUCUCCUAAUGUAUAAAGUAACAUUUAAAGAUGAAAUAAUUUCGUUGCCCAAUGAAAUUUUGUGUCACCAAAUGGUUUACUAGAUAUUUGAAAAUCUAAUUCCCAACAAAACAUUUUACUUUAUGCCACAAAAAACACUUGCUGGCAAAUAGUUUUGGCCAUGAGAUUUCAUUUCAUCAUUAAUAUGUUUUCCUAAUGAAAUGUAAUUAUUUGUCUCUAAAACUAUAGGGUGACACAAUUGUGGAGACAAUUGCCGAGAAGAAAUUUUUUGUUAGGAAAGCCUUUUAGCCGCGAAAGAAAUAUUGUUGGAAAUAAAACAUUUCAUCCUCGAUCAUGUAAUUUGUUGUAGUGUGAAUUUUUGAAAUUUUUGAAUAGAUGUAAAAAAUUUCAUUGGUAUAGAUGCGUACCUAAGAAUGACAAUGAGGUUGAUUUUUUUUAGAAACCCAUCUUUCCCUCAUACUAAGUUCAAGACAGGUUGGAAUAUGAUUUUGUCUUGUCUCCCCCCAUUUAAUAUAAAUAAAUGACACAAGAUUGAAAUGGAGGUGAUCCUUCCCAGACUCAUCCGUUGCCACCCUUAAUGUGUUAUCUAAAAGUUCCAUUUCCAAGGGUCUUUUCUACCUUUCCUUUAGAUGGGAAUAAUGUGUAAUAUAUUCCCUAUUGCUAUGGUUGAGUGUGAACUAAUAAACUUGGAGCCUCUUCCUAUGCUAUCUUUAUACUAUAAUAGCUACAUACUUCAGUCAAAGUCCACGAGACAUUCAUGAUAGAUUAUCAAAAGAUAUAUGUCUAUGCACUAAUGGAUAUGCACAACUAUGCUAUAAUAUAUGACAUGGAACAAUAGAUUAUUUUCAUUUUUAUUUUAGUAAACUUAACUUAAUUUUUUAAAAUUAUCAUAUUGAUAUAUUUAAACUCACUAAUUUUUCUUAGUAUUUAUCUUCAUAAACUUAAAUUUGUUCAACAUUAAUAUUAAAAAGUACUAUUAUGAAGCUACAAAAUAACUUCAAAAUAUUUACUAAAAAGAAAAAAAGAAUUGUGAACAUAGAGUCACUGAAAUAAAAGUGAUUAUCACCAAAUAUAAACAAACAGAAUAAAAAAAAAUAGAAUUUAGAAUAAGUUAAUUAUUUUGAUUUGAUAUUUAAAUUCAUUUUUUAAUUCUAAAUGAUGAUAAAUAAUUAUUUUAUCUAACACUAAGUUAAUUUAUCAGACACGUACCCUAACUAUGACUCAUGAUUGUCAUUGUCAUUCUCAUGCGGAGGUCAUAUUAAUUUAUGCAUCAUUUGAAUAAUUUUCUUUCAUAUGUUAAGCGAGAACAAAAAUAUCAAUUUUUACCGAUAUAUCGUUAAUUGGAGUUUAUAGCUAUAUCAGGAAACAUCAUAUAUAUAUAUAAUGUUGGAAAUAAUUCAAAAAAUGAUAGAAAAAAUAAUAAUGUAUAUAAUGAAAUUGUUUUAAGAGAAAAAUGAUAUGUGUAUAAUAAAUUGUAAUCUUAGACAAUAAUAUACAAAAUUGUAAAACAUUAAUGCUAAAAUGAUAAAGCAUUAAGUUUAUAUAUAUUAAAGGAUAUAAAAAUUUUUUUGAUAUAUAUUUAUAUUUUUUAUUUAAAAAUAUUAAUAAUUUUAUUUAUAAAUUUAUGUUUGUCUUAUAUUUAAUCACUAUAUAAAAGAUAUAAUAAGAUAAUUAAAAUUAAUUUAUUUUAAUUAAUUUAUAAUUACUAAUAUACAAAAGAUAUUGUACAAGGCCCACACUCAAAUCUUGAUAUUGUGUGUUUUUUUAAUAACUUUAAGAAAGGAAAUCCACAUUAUAAAGGGAAAACAAAAUAAUAAAUAAUGUAUUGCUAUGUGACAUCACUAUUAUAAGGUUGUUGUGCUUCACUUUGGCAGGUUAUGCAUGGGCUAUCUUUGGCUGAUCAAAGGUCCACCACCAUGAUUAAUUUUUUAAAAAAAACUUAGGUAUUUUAAAAUAUUUAAUUUAUAUUAAUGAAAAAAAUAAUAAUUUAUUAAUUUUUUAUUUAUUGAACUGAUUUCGUAUUGUUUGAACCAAGGAUUGGAUUGAUGGAGCUAGACGGUUAUUCAAGAAUCAAAUUGUUAACGACCUUUUCAUUUUGGGCAAAAUGGGCUAGAGUGCCUAUCAUUUGCAACCUAGCAUUCAACACCCUCUUUUUUAUUUUGCAAAAUGGGACAUUGCCCAUGGGUUUCACCAUUGUUUGCUUUACAAUGAAUGAAUGAGAUUUAUAAUGCUCUUUCUUAUCUCCUUUUAUUUCCUAUAUGGGAUCAUUGUAGUGGCUAAUUUAAAGAAAAAUAAGCUUGGACGAUAGGUUCAAGGUAAAAUGGUUGGACCACUUUGUUACUCUUUUGUUGAUGUUUAAAAUUAUAAAAAAUAAAUAAAUUACAUAUGUUAUUUAAAAAAUGAAUAUAAGUAAACAUAUAUAUAAGAUUAUUGUGAUAUAGUACAAUUUUUCUUUCAUUUUCAAUGUAUUUUUAUAUUGAAAUAUUAUAGAUGUUUUGUUUCAUCAAUUUGAAGAUGGUAUCAGAGUUAGGGAACUGAAAUCUUGGAUAUUUUAUCGGUAAGGCUAGCCAUCGCCCCUCAUUCGCGAUAAAAAAAAAAAAAAUUUGAGUGAAAAAAAUACUGUUGUUUUUCAAUCUGAAGGUACUUUUAAUCCAGGAAUUAAUUUGAUUGAAUUAAACUAUGACAUUUGGUCACAACUCGUGGAGAUGCAUAUUGCCAAACGGGAAAAACUUUCCUACAUUCGAGGUAAGAUAAAUCCACCAAAAGAGUCAGAAGAUGGAUAUGAAAAAUGGUAUGCUGAGAAUCAAAAGGUGAAAAGAUGGUUGUUAAUGUCCAUGAGUCCAGAAAUUAUGAAGCGUUACUUACGCUUACCCACCGUUCAAGAAAUUUGGAGUGCAUUAUCAAAGGUCUUCCAUGAUGGAAGUGAUGAAUUACAAGUUUUCACUUUGAAUAAAAAAGCCUUCACUGCCAAACAAAGCAGCAGGUCUCUUUCUGAAUAUUAUGGAGAGUUAACUAAAAUUUUUUGCGAAUUAGAUCAUCGGGAUAAGGUAGUCAUGAAAGACCUUGAGGACAUUGCAGCACACCGGAAAUCCAUUGAACGACAACGGGUGCACAUUUUUCUUGCUGGAUUGGAUGGUGACUUUGAGCAAGUUCGAGGAAAGAUUCUACGCAAAGAUCCUCUUCCUGAUUUGGAAGAAUGCUAUGCACUGAUUUGACGAGAGGCAGUCUGUCAUGCUAAUAUGAAAGCAGAAUCUAACAACCCUGACACCUUAGCUAUGGUAGUCCGACAACGAUCAACCCAGAAUUGGAAGGACCAAUCCAAGACCAACCAUCCUAAGACAGACCCUAAUAUUGAUGAGUCAACCUUCAAAUGCACUCGCUGCAAUAAGACUGGUCAUACCAAGAGUUGUUGCUUUAAAAUUGUGGGAUAUCCAGACUGGUGGGAUCAUAAUCGUGAUCAAUGGAAAAAAGAUUCCAAGAAAACCUCAACUGCAGCUGUUGCCGAAAUAAAAACAGAGGCUAAUGUCACUGAGAAAGCCUCUGCAUUGGUAACCGCUACAGAUUAUGGUAGUAAGUUUUAAAAUACUUCAACACCUGUUAUUAAUAGUGCAUGGAUAAUUGAUUCUAGUGCUAUAGAUCAUAUGACUUUUGAUUCUAGAUAGGUCUCACCCCUUAAACCUUCCUCACAAAAAAUUGUUUCCACAACCAAUGGUAACACAACCCCAGUCAUUGGGAAAGGAUCCUUAACUCUUACUGAUACUUUGAAUUUGGAUUAUGUUUUAGUUGUUCCAUCUUUAGAUUACAAUCUUUUGUUAGUUUUUCAAAUCACUGCAGUUUUAUCUUGUAUUGUCAUUUUUUGGCUUGAAUUUUGUGUUUUUAAGGACAUCCAAACAAGACAGACGAUUGGUUGUAGUAUUAAGCGGGGAAAAAUCUAUUACUUGGACUUGCAAUCAAAGGAUUCAAAUAAGUUGCGACAAGCCUUGAUGGCAGAUGGAUUUGAGGGGGAAAAGAAAAAGUUUGAAAUUUGGUUGUGGCAUCGACGUCUGGGACAUGCUUCCUCUGAUUAUUUAAAAAAAUUGUUUCCUAGUUUGUUUGCAAAUAGUGAUAUUUCUAGUUUCCGUUGUGAUAUUUGUGAAUUGGCUAAAAGCCAUCGUGCUCCGUUUCCGUUAAUUUUGAAUAAAAGUCUGUUUCCUUUUAUGGUUAUAUAUUCUGAUGUUUAGGGCCCAUCCAAAGUCCCAACUUUGAGUGGUUCGCGUUGGUUUGUUACUUUUAUUGAUGAUUGUACCAGAAUGACAUGGUUAUGCUUGAUGAAGACCAAAGAUGAAGUGAACUUGUUGUUUCAAAAAUUUCAUAAAAUGAUUGAAACUCAGUACAAUGCAAAGGUUCGGGUUCUGCGUAGCGAUAAUGGUGGAGAAUAUCAGAGUUCUGAUCUUCAAAAGUAUUUGGGAGGAUAUGGCAUCAUUCAUCAGACUACUUGUUCCAAUACACCCCAGCAAAAUGGAGUCGCUGAACGGAGAAAUCGAUACUUGUUAGAGGUUGUUUGUGCUUCCUUGAUAGUAGCAAAAAUACUGAUAUCUUAUUGGGGAGAAACAAUCACAUCUGCCGCAUACUUGAUCAAUCGGGUACCUUCCAGCUCAAUUAACUUCCAAACACCUCUCCAAGCUCUUACUAAUGUCAUAGUUGCCCCAACCGUCCCAAAUCUACCUCCUUGUGUUUUUGGUUGCGUGGCAUUUAUGCAUCUACACAAACACUAACACACCAAGUUAACUUCCUAUGCAUUGCAAUGUGUGUUUGUUGGAUAUGCCUUGCACAAAAAGGGAUAUCGAUGUUACCAUCCCUCCAACUCGAUGAUGUUUAUUAUAAUGGNNNNNNNNNNNNNNNNNNNNNNNNNNNNNNNNNNNNNNNNNNNNNNNNNNNNNNNNNNNNNNNNNNNNNNNNNNNNNNNNNNNNNNNNNNNNNNNNNNNNGAAUCUGGACAAUCUAAACUAGUGAACCAGGAAGCGGGUAAGUUGGAUAUGAGUGGCACAACUUUGGAAACCAAGUAGUAAUGACCACCCAGAAACUGAAGAAGUGAUAAAACAAAGAAAAGACAGUACAAUUGAACCAUCACCACCAUCUAAACAAUUUGGGUCCAAAGAUGUCUUCAUUGAAAUACCAAACCAAUCGUCGUCUGUUAAGGGUGUUCUUAAUUUGGAACCUGAUCCAUUCAUGAAAUGAUUACCACACCGUCAUAAUAGAGGUAUUCCUAAACCCACAUAUGAACUUGAAUUGUCUAACAAAGUCAAAUAUCCCAUGAGCAACUAUGUGUUUAACCAUCGUUUGUCUGAAUCAAAUAAGUCAUUUGUAAAUCAAUUAUCUACUGUAGCUAUUCCUAACAGUGUGCAGGAAGCCUUAGCUAAUCCAAGUUGGAAAGCAGCCAUGAAUGAAGAGAUGAAAUCAUUGCAGAAGAAUGAAACAUGGGAACUCGUAGAAUGUCCACUAGGAAAUAAGCCAGUUGGGUGUCGUUGGAUCUAUACUGUGAAGUACAAGGCAAAUGGUAGUAUUAAACGAUUUAAAGCAAGACUGGUAGCAAAAGAGUACACUCAAACUUAUGGAAUUGACUACAUAGAAACAUUUGCACCUGUAGCUAAGAUCAACACAGUUCGAGUAUUACUGUCUUUAGCUACAAACCUGGAUUGGCCAUUACAACAGUUUGAUGUGAAAAAUGUCUUUCUUCAUGGCGAGUUAUCUGAAGAAGUAUAUAUGGAUCUUCCACCAGGAUGCAUGGUGUUAGAAAAGCAAUGUCAGAAGGUGUGUAAAUUAAAAAUAAUAUAUAUUUUAUUUCAUUUUAUUUUUGGAAUUAAAGAAAAAAAUGAUAAAAAAUUUAUUUAACCGUAAAAAAUAUUAAUAUAAGAUAUGUUAUAAAAUAGAAAUAACCCCAAGUUUAUUUACUUAUUUCCUUUUAUUUAUUUAAACUAGAAAGAAAUUUAUUUUAAAAGAUCAAAAUGUGCACAAUUAAUCUAUUACUUUGUUAAUUAUGGAUAUAUUAAAAUUUUGUAUUACACAAAAAAAUAGAGAAAAUAAAAUUAAAAAGAGUAAUAAAUAUAUAUAAUUUAGUUAUUUAACUAUUUUUCAUGUAAAAGAUAGCCACACAAAAAAAAUACACAAUUGACCAAUUCCUUUGUUUAAUGGUAAGCAUACUAUAUAUAUUAUUAAAAUAACUAAUGGAAAAAAUAAAAAUAGAUAAUCAAUGAAUGAAAUUCAAUUCUUUUUAUUAUUUUCAUAUAAAAAAAAGUAUCAAACAAGGUUUUCAAUUUUAAUUUGAAAAAUAGUUUUCCUUUUUUAAUUAAACAUUUUUUCAAAAAGAAAAUAUAAAAAAUAAAAAUCACAUUAUCAUAUUUUUUUAGAUAGUAUUUUUUAAAAUAGUUUUUAAAUGUAAUUUUUCUUUUAUUUAUAAUUUAAAAUAUAAAAUAAUACUGAUUUUCAAUUAUUUAUAAAAAAAAAGUUUUGAAAAACAAUAAAAAAAUCCAAAUGAUUAAAAUAGAAUUAUUCUGAUUGUGUGAACAAUAGUGCAAUAAAGACUAAAAAAAUAUAUAUAAAAGGUCAAUAGAUAUUUUAGUACAUCAUUAUUUUAUAUCUUUAAAAUCAAUAAAAAGUUAUCCACGCAUCUUUGUUCAAAUUUGAGGUUCACCUCAAGAAAGGAUCAUAUAUUUUAGGCAAGUAUUCUUUUUUAGUUGCAUCAUUACACAAUCUAGUUCUUUUUUCUAGUACAUCCAGAGUAAGCGAUCCAUUGUCUAGAGCCUCAAUUCUAGUUAUAAACUCCUUUCUUAGUGUGUUUUCUCACCUCAAAUCACAAUGCUCCCUUAUUUUUCCUUUACGGAAUCCUUUUUCUCUCAAGCAAUCUAUUUGGAGUAGUUGGAUAAUUGACCAUUAAUGUUUUCUCCUUUUUGUGAUAUUAAAAGAAUUUCCUCUCAAGCAAUCUAAUUGGAGUAGUUGGAUAGUUGACCAUUAAUGUUUUCCCUUUUUUGUGUUAUUAAAAGAAGACAAAAAAACUUAUGGAGAAGUCAAAUACUUUUAAAUGAACUAUCAAAAAUCAUAUCAAUUUAAUAAUAUGACUUGGACCUCUAAAAUUGGUUUAUAAUAAUCACAAAUGAUUGCCACGUAGACUUAUUAUAUAAUAUGUCAAUUCAUCAAAUUAAUUACACAAAACACUUUGGAAUAAUGCAGAGUUCAGAAUUUAAAGCCAUUAGGCAGAAUAAAAUAAUUGUUAAAUAAUUUAUUUAUUAAAUUAUUUUACUAUAUUGAACAAAUAUUAAAUUCCAAGCUUCCUUUGUAAAAACUGAGGUGGCCUGCCUAACCAUGAAUCACAGAAAGGACGGCAAAACGUCAGGCCAUGUUGCGGUUUGGGCGGCGGAGAUUGGUUGAGAAGGGAGACUGAAAACGAGACCACCAAGUUAAACGUAGCCGCAACUACAAGCAGCUUUUGGGCCCUACGUCACAUGCUCUUGUAUUUUCCUUGGCUCUUAAUUGGGUGGGCCCAAUCUUCCCCUCUAUCAGCCCGGGCCGAGCCAUAUUUAAGGGUUAAAUAAGAAGGUUAGGGCCUCAUAGAACCAUGCUAUUUAAGUACUGUUAUAAAAGGCGUUAGACUCCCCAUCCAUGAUGACUCACAACUGGUUGGCUUGGUGAUAACCUUAAAAAUCAGCUAAUUUGUUUUUGACAUGUUAUUAGAUUUCAAUCAAUUUUCUAAAUUAAAUAUUGAUUAUUCAAAUUUAUUUGUCUUUUUAUAUCAUAGGAAGAAAUUGAAGAAGAAAAGAAAUAGAAAGAAUCCAAAUUAUCUGAUUUAACGUUGGGAAUUGUCCCAAAUUCCUAAUUAGUAAAGAUCUCUUUUUAUAAAGAAUAUUGUAUAUAAUAUUUUCUAAGUUAAUAUAUUAUUAUAAUAUUAGAUUUCCUUAUAGAAUAAAGAAAAUUGUUGGAAAUAUCUCUAUAAACAUUCUAGAUCAUGAGGGGAAAAAGUCAUGAGAUGAAGAUAGACUUGUAAAGACUAUACGUGAUGGAUAGAGAUGUGAGGAAGAAAGGGAGGUAUCCGAUGGAACGAGAAGACUCGUGGUAGGGUAUGGAUACAAGGAGUUGGGAAACAUGAGAUGUUUUGGGAACCCAAUAGUUUUAUCUGGUUUUGUCAUCUGUAAUAUUCUCUAUUGUAUAGUGGAAUAAUUCUUGCUCAUUCGUAGACGUAGGCAUGAUUGGCCAAACCACGUUAAAGCCUCAGGUAACGUGUGUGAUUGUUUUAUCUUUGUGUGUUCUUGAAUUAACCUUAUUUGCAUGAAAGAUUUCAUUGUCACAACAUUUAAUUUAUUAUGAAAAGUACAAAGAGAGAAAAAUAAAUUGAUGAAAAAUAAGGCUUCUGAGUUACCUUUUGAAAUGUCUAAGAAUUCUGAUUGGUUGUUACCUUUUAAAAUGCCCAAGAAUCCCCAUUAGUUGUUUCACUAACCAAUUUUCUCGCCUCAAAUCAUGAAUGGAAUUAUGAAUACAAGAACCAUUCUUUUCUCACAACAAAGAGUCUUAACCUCUCUUUUCAAGGAGAAAAAUAGGGAAAAUUUUGAGAAAGGGAAAAGAAAAAUAUAUUCUUUCUUUUGUAUCCAAGGAAAAAGAAAAAUAUAUCCAAGAAUUUGCAUGUGAAACCUCUGAUUCACAUUUUCUAAUUGCUUCAGACUGUCUGAGAAUGAAAACAUCAACUUUAUGGCAACUAAAUUAAGGGAAAUGCAAAGUCUAACAAAUAAAUUACCAAGAUUUCAAUUCCCAAUCCAGGUUUCUCUCAUUUCUCUCUUGAUCAUAUUGUAAAAGUAAAUCAAUUAAAUCCUAUGAAAUAAUUCUUAUACUCCUUUAAGCAUUACUCCUACAUUAUUUCCAUAUAACUUGACAAUGAUUUUCAUGACCCGGAUGGUGCUAUAUACUCCACAUAUUGAAUCCAGUACUUUUGUUCCUGGAAGUCAAAUUCCUGAGUGGUUCAGCCAACACAGUAUAGUGUCACGGACUUAGUCUUUUCCUGAGCUCGUGCAACACUUAGACAAGUCAAGACACUUGAUCUUGCUAAGUUAGCCUUACUCCCAAUGUUUAGUUUGCUAGGCUAAGAUGCACCCGACUUAGAAGCUUUAGAGGGCAUAGUAGGCAACACUUAAAGAAUGGAAGCUUUUAUUGCUCAAAUGAAGCUUUACAAGUGCUUUGGGAACUAACUUGCUUGGUUAGGAAGUGAUUUGGGUGGUUUUGGAUGGUGCCUUAGCCAAAUGAGGCCCUCACCUAUUUAUAGGCACCAAUGGAACUCUCUGGAACCUUGGAGGGUUCCUUACAAAUCAAGAAUAAUCUAGAAGCUCCUGCACUAGUCUAUGUACAAGGGUAUGUACAAAAUGAUUUUAGAAGAUUCUAGAAUACCUCCACUAUUCCAAUGCUCUCCUAGCCAAGUGCAGAGAUGUAUGGACAUCUCUAGCCCUCUUUAAAAGCUUCCAUACUCUUCCACUUUGUAGCUAAGUGUAGAUGUCUCCAAGGGUCUCUAGAAGCUUCCCACCUCCUAUAUAAGCCCAUGGGGAGGGUCAUUUGAAGCAUCUUGUGACACUUUUCCCCACCUAUGCCGUCGACGUCCCCAUUGUUGUCUCUUCUUGAAACUUCUCGAUGUGUUUCUAGAACCUUCUCAAGGCAUCUGCAUGUUCCCAGCUUACCUGCUUCUUAGGUAGUUCUUUCCAUCGGACUAGAUAGUCUAUCAAAGGAGAGACCCCUUGUCUCUUGGUAACCCGUUCAGCCAAGAAAUUUUUCACCUCCUUCUUCCGUGAGGCCUCGGAUGGAUGCAAACCCCUGCACUUUCGAUGCUUGGAGUGCUGCUUCCUCUUGCCCAUCGAGUUUACCUUUCCUUUGGUGACCUUGUCCAUGUGUGUGCGGCCUAUCUCAACUCACUCCUCUUUUGCCUCCUUUACUUGUACCCCUGAUAGUAAGAAGGUCUUAGGCGUACUAGGCUUUGGGUUGACUUGGAGGGCACCUAGUAACAUCAUCGAGCCCAUAUGUGCUUCGUCUUCCUAUUCCCCCUCCUCGAUCAUGGCAUUGAGCGCUUUCCUUUUUGGACAAUCUCGUGCCCAAUGUGGACCGUCACAUAGGAAGCAUUUGAUUUUAGGUGUAAACUCUUUCCUUUUCGCCUUACCCUUUCCUUCUCGGAUGUUAGGCAUCUUACCUGAUCCCAUUAUAGGAGCAUUGUGGUCCCUUGAAACCUCGUCUCCUCCACCCGUAGCGUGGCUAUCCUCCAAAGACUCAACUUGGGAGGAGUCUCCCCUCUUGUAAUCCAUUAAAGACUCUACUACUGCCAUAGCAGUGGCAAAGUCUUGAACGCCUCGGCGCCUUAAUUCUUGCUCGGCCCACCCUUCCAGGUUAUCCAUGAAGUUGAAUAGCAACUCCUCAUUAGUCAUAUUAGGCAUCUCAAGCAUGAGCAAAGAGAAUUCAUUGACAUAGUUGCGUAUUGAGCCUAUGUGCUUGAGACGCCUCAUGUUUUUCCUAGCCAGGUAAGCCACGUCCUCUAGGUAAAACUGCUUCUUGAUAUCUCUCUUGAAGUCUUCCCACGUCUCUAUGGUGCAAAUGUCUUUCUCCAUAUCGGCGAACCUCCGUUACCACCAUAGAGUAGUUGUAUCAGUAAGGUGGAAGGUUGCAGUCCUUACCUUAGCCACCUCAUUAGUUAGUGUGAUAGCCUUGAAGUAUCGCUCCAUAUGCCAUAAGAAGUUGUUCAACUCCUUGGAAUCCCGCUUACCACUAAACCCUUGUGGCUUCGGCAUCUCCACCCUAGAUGCCUCCUGUGUGGCCAUGACCCGUGCCAACAUAGCAACCUUGUAGAUGACCAAAUCCUACCUAACCUCCUAGUCUCGGGACUCCAUUUAAGUGGCCAAGGUCUCUAUCCUUGACUCUAUGCUAGCAAGCAUGCUUAAGACCUUUUCUUGGAAAGAUAUAAACUCCUCGUGCGACACUGGCUGAAAUUGUGAGACUAGCAUCCCCUCAAGAAGGUCUUGGAUCUGCUCCCUUAGAUCCUUUAAGCCCUUCUCCAUGCUUUGCUCCAUCAAGUCCACCUCUUCUCGAGUGUCUACCAUGGCUAGCUCCACCUUGGCUAGCCUUGCCUCCAUGUUGGCUAUGGCAUCAAGAGAUUUAUCCUUUUUGCCCAUGCCCCGUGUAGUAGGCUCAGUCUCCCUCCCACGAGUUUGCUCGCUAGCGUCCUCAAUGUUGGACCCCAACAUGCUUCCUUUACGGUGCCCGCUUCAUAGCCGUGCUCUGAUACCAACUGUCACAGACUUAGUCUUUUCCUAAGCUUGUGCGACACUUAGACAAGUCAAGACACUUAAUCUUGCUAAGUCAGCCUUACUCCCAAUGCUUAGCUUGCUAGGCUAAGAUGCACCCGACUUAGAAGCUUUAGAGGGCGUAGUAGGAAACACUUAAAGGCUGGAUGCUUUCACUACUCAAAGGAAGCUUUACAAGUGCUUUGGGAACUCACUUGCUUGGUUAGGAAUUGAUUUGGGUGGUGCCUUGGCCAAAUGAGGCCCUCGCCUAUUUAUAGGCACCAGUGGAACUCUCUGGAACAUUGGAGGGUUCCUUACAAAUCAAGAAUAAUCUAGAAGCUCCUACACUAGUCUAUGUACAAGGGUAUGUACAAGAUGACUUUGGAAGAUUCUAGAAUACCCCCACACUAUUCCAAUGCUCUCCUAGCCAAGUGUAGAGAUGUGUGGACAUCUCUAGCCCUCUCUAGAAGCUUCCAUACUCUUCCACUUUGUAGCUAAGUAUAAAUGUCUCCAGGGGUCUCUAGAAGCUUCCCACCUUCUAUAUAAGCCCAUGGGGAGGGUCAUUUGAAGCAUCUCGUGACACUAGGCUCCACAACAAUAGUACAUCUACCUCCAAAUUGGUGUAAUACUAGGUUGGUGAGAUUGGUUGGGUGCGCUAUUUUUAUUGUUAAGGGUGUUUUCCAUGAUUGCCCUGGUAAUAUAUUUUGUCAUUUGAAUUUGACUCAAGGUAAAACUGUUCACCUUUUUGCUCCCAUCAAUCUAGAACACCAGAAUUCUUCGGAUGAAGGACAUAGAUUCAUUAAAUCAGAUCACAUGUGGCUUGGGUAUCAACCAAUUUCUCGAAUUGGGAUUGGCCACGCCAAUUGGCUAAAUAAACUGAGUCAAAUUUAGGCUUCAUUUCAAGUCUAUGGCCCAUCUUAUGAGGUGAAGAAGUGUGGGGUUCAUCCACUAUAAGAACAAGAUGAGAAAGAAGGCAAUCAACCAGAAUUUCAGUGCAACACUACGGAUGAGAAUUCAAGUAUCUUCACUAUUAAAGAUUAUGGUGAGCUUACACAUUUUCUCUUUACAAUGCUGAUAUAAUGAAGCAAACCACUUCUACAUUGAGAGGAUGCAUCAGCACAAGAUGCUCAAACUUGAAAGAUGGAGAUGAAAACUAUCAUAUUGUUAUUGUCUUACUGGUUUCUCUUUUGCAUGGUUUUUCUUUUGCAUUUGAUGCUUUUGGGGGUUAGAACUCGUAAGAAUCUAGCUGAGAAUUUAGUCAUCUAUUGCACAGUAGUUGAUUCCCAAAUUGAACCAUUUUAUUUGAGCCUAUAUUUUCUUUUUAUGCUUCUUGUUCUUCAUAUUUUUUCAUAGGUUUUUCCUUUUAAUAGUAGUCAUGGAUUGCUUGAGCAAUAUUCUGUUCAAGGUUGUUAGCUAGCUUGGUAGAGCUAAAGAGAGCGUCCCGAUGAUCCUCUUAUAUCUGUGCUUAGUCUUCACUUAAUUUUGGCCAUGGAUGUGAUUGAUGUGACUAAUGUUUUAAGAUUUGGUUAACUAAAAAUGAUCUACAUGUUGGCAAUUUUGUGAAAGUGUAUUUUGAGUAGUUACAAUAUUUAUCAUUUUUAGUUCAUAUAAGUGGUACAUCCAAUCCAAUCCAAUCCAAGUUGUUAAAGACCCUUUCAACAACUCAAGGAGAAAAUAAAGAUCAAAGCCUCUCCAAGGAACCCUGAGGGUGAGCCAAUGCUCUUAUUUUUCUUUAGAUAUGCUUUGAGAGGUUUUCAUAAUCUUCAAAUUGGAGAAGGCCUCUAUGGAUGAAAGGCUAGUUGGUUGAUUUGAAGUUAUUCUUCAAUUUGUCUAAGCCUAGUUGCGUUGGCCGAAAGUGCAAAUUCUGUAAUUUGAGUUUUCCUCAUUGAAAGUUAGUUGAUCUAGUUUAGGUAACAUCUAGAAGGGGUGAAUAGGUGUUUGAACCUCUUACGCUCAAAAAUUAAAUUUUUUGAAAAAUUAAUUUGUUUGAUUUAGGAAAGCCUAAAAAUAUUCAAUACAAGAAUGUAAGAUUUUUUACAUGGAAAACCGCUUAUACAACAUGCGGAUGUAAAAUCCAUGGGGUCAGAAACAUCUAAUUACAAAUCCACUAUUCAAAAGUAUAGUGCACAGUUUUAUCUAGUCGAACCCAUCCCUAAGUCUUACUCCCUAUCACCUCUACUAUACUUCACAUUUGUAGUACAACACUGCUUGUGCUCCUAGUGAAUCAUACUUUAGUGUUUGUGGAGAUGUGAAUCUCUUUCUCAACCUAGUAAAACUGAAGACAAUCAUUUUUCAAAGUUUUGGGAACAAGAAGGCAAAUUAGGUUUUUUUGAAAUAUUUGCAUCAAAAAGAGAAAAUCCUCUUUAGACAAGGUAUUUAUAGGGCCAAGAUCCUAGUGGAUCGGAUUUAGAAUUUUCCUAAAAUAAAGCUUUUAAAAUUUGGAAAAUCAAAGCUUUAGAAUUGUAGAGAAUUCUAUCACACUUGAGUGCUUUAGGGAGAGCUUAAGUGCUCUCCAUAGCACUAGAAUUCUCUAGGAGGUUUUUAAAACUAUUUUAAAAAAACAUUUAACUCAGUUUAAGAACUUGACAUUCACACCAACCUUCAUUAACUCUAAUUUGUCUUUCUUAGACCUUUCUAUACUUACCUUUGUUAUUCUAGUUGAUCACACGACAACUUCGAGUUUUCAAAGGAGAGUGAGAUAUAAUCUAAAAACUCCCUAAGUUAAAAUGAUUGAAACAAAAUUAUCAAUCUUGAACUAUAUAAAUUAAUGUACCAAUACUCACAAAUAAGAAACCUUGGGUUCAUUUAGCAAGAGGGAUUUUCUAUCAAGCAUGUUGGGUUUGCUUCAAAAAUGACUUAUUAUGAUAUGAGAAUCAUACCAAAAUGCUUCAAAGUAUAACAAAUACUAUGGUCCCAAUCACAAUAUGGUGGAAUAAGAAAAUAUAUGACUAGUGAAGUGAUUAUUUAUUUAAGAAAAUUUUAAGGUUAGGUUGUUAUGAUAUCCUAGGAUUUUAAAUUAAUUAUGCCCACCUUUUUAUAGUUGAAAUAUUAAAAAAAUGUUUUUUUUAAUUUUGAUUUAUUAUAAAAAAAUAUGAAAGAAAAAUAUAAUUAAAAUUAGUUAAAAAGUUAUAUAUAUAUAUAUAUAUAUAUAUAUAUAUAUUGAAUUUUUAUAUAGAAUAGAAAAAAAAAAUCAAAUGAAUUAAACAAAACAUAAAUUUCUUUUCAUUCUUUUCCCAACCUCAGACUCUUUUGCCAUUCUUAGACAUACAUGCAUCUUUGAUGAUGGAAGUACAAAAACAAUUUAUUUCAUGCAUGAACCACAAAUGUAGAGAUAGCUUCCCCAACUUUUUAGAUGAGAUUAUAACUAUAAAGGUCCUUGUUCAUUUUACAACAAAUAAUUAAAUCCAUUGGAUAAAGAAGAAUAACAUAAAUAAAAUGAAGAUAGUGAAAUUAAUGAUCAUCUUAUAUAAUGUUUGUUGAGAUGUUUAUUUGGUAUUACUCAUAAAAAUGUAGAUUAAAGGCAUUAUUAUACAAAUAUUAUUUGAUCUAGUUAAAAUAAAAAUGAACUUUCAAAAACACAAAAAGAAAAUGAAGAUAUUAAGAAUAUUUUUUAAAUGGUAAAUGAUUUGUUCAAUUAGAGGUUGGAUUUUAUAUUAAAACAAAAAAGAGUAAAAUUUUUGUUUUGAUCAUUAUACUUGUUCAUAGUAAUUCAGUCAUUUACUUGAUUAAAUACUUAAAUAUUGUUGGAGUUGGGUGGGCACCCAAGUUGGUGUGACCUAACCUGAUCUAACCAAAUAAGAGAUAAGAGUGGAACAUUUCUGGGAGUUGAAACUACUAGAAAUUACCCAAAAAUCGCCCCAAUAAACUUUUCUCUAGAAAAGAAAGAUUGAGAGAACUCUAGAAGAAAAGUUCUUUGAAAAAGAAGGUGAAAGACUGUGUGUUGUGGAACAGAGUGAUUCUCAAUUUUAGUGUGGUUUCAUUCAUGACUUGGGGUAAAGAAUUAAAUGGUGAAACAAUUGAUUGUUUUUUUUUUUCCCCGAUCUUGGGUAUUCCAAAAAGUAAUCCAAAUUUUUCCUACAAAUAUUACCUUUGAAAUUUAGGAACACUUCUCAACUGAGCAAAUGUUCAACUACUUAAUAUUAACUUAUUUUCUUUCAACCCUAUUAAAAGUGAUUUUUCUAAUAUUAGUUCAUAUGCAUUUAGUUGAAACAUGAUAUUUCUUUGUAUAUCAAUAUAAAACUAACUAAAAUAUAAGUCAUUAAGCUCAUAUUUGGUACAUUGGAAUGGGGAAUGAGAAUGAAUAGAUAUUUUUGGUAACCAUUUUUAAAAAAAAUUUCCUAUUCUCUAAAAAAAAAAAAACAGGAAACCAUGUUUGACAAUCAAAAAAUAGAAAAUAGUUUUUUGCUUUUAAAAACUAUUAAUAUGAUGUCUUCAGAUAGCAUUUUUAAAAUUAUUUUAAGUUGUUUUUUGGCUAUUUUAAAAAAUAAUUAUACAAAUAUGGGGAAUGAUAAAAAAAUAAAGCACUACAAAUAAACAUAUGUAAAAACAUAUAAAGUGGGUUAAAAACAUUUCAAGUUCCUAAAUAGACAUUUUUUUACAAGAUAUUGAACAAUUUUUAAAAAAAAUUCUCGAAAAUUAUUUUUCAAAAUUAUUUUUAAAGGCAAUUACCAAACAUGACCUUUAUUUCGAUGCCUAUUUUUCCUUGAUUAGUAAUAAAUAUGUCAAUUCCAAUUCUUAUGUUUGAAAGCACUACAGAGUGUAAAGUCGGAAUGAAUGUUUGUUUCCAUUUCAAUUUUAGGUAAUAAUGAGAAUGAGAAUGGAAAAUAAAAUUGAUAAUAAUAACUAUACACAUAACUUCAAAUAAUUUUUUAUUUUUAUUUAAAAAAAAAAAAUCUUUGAGAGUUUCUUUACUGAAUAAUAAAAGUUGGUUUGAUCAUAUAGCCACCUAAAGCAAUUCCUACUAUUUGGGCACAAUGUUAUUAUUAAUAAGUCAAAGUAAAAUGUUUGUUUAUAAUUUUUUUAAAAUAUAAUUUAAGUAUGCAAAGUAUAUUAUUUAGUUUUAUCUUUAAAUGGAAAGUGCCUAAUUUUUUGAAGAAAGCGAAUUUAAUUAUUGAAUUAAAUGAACUCCUACUUAUCAAUUUUUUUUAUAAAGAUGCGAUAGCUCCUAGGAUUUAACUUUGUACUAUACUUGAUCCUCCUUAGUGAACUAUUUUUCCUAACUGAGUUUUAAGUUCACUCUUCUCUAUUAUUUCACUUUUUAGGUACAAGUGAUAUUAAUGAGGAGAAAUCAAGUUAAGAAGGGUGUUUCUUUUGAAAUCUUCUUUACAAUUAAUUAUUUAGGAGUUUUAAAUUAAGAUUGAACUUAGUAUUGAUUUCUAAAACUCUUUGAAUUCUUUGGGAUGAUCUUUGAAUUUAUUAUUUAGAUAUUUUUAAUUAGUUUUGGGUUAGAUUUUUUAUUUAUUUAUGCUCUAAUCAUUAUUAUGAAUCAAUUUAAGGAAGUUGUCAACUAAUUACUUGUUGGAUUUGUUAGUUAAGGUCAUUCACAUGUUGGACUCUUGGGUUUGACAAGUCAAAUGACCAUGGUGUCUUUGAUCUUCAAGUGUCACAAUUAAAAACUAAACUAUUUUCAUUUUCAAGUAAAGUUCCUUGUUAAGGUAAAAAUAUACAUUCAAAAUAAUUUAACCAAAUAUUGAAUAAAUAUGUAUCAUACGGAGAAAAAAUUUAUAUUAAAGCUCCACAAAUAGUAGGAAAUUUAUUCCAAAAUUUUAAAAGAAAAUGUGAGAAAAAAGUGAAAAAAGUCUAAAUUAACUUGAUCAAAUUUUUACACAUCUUAAAAUUUAUUCAUCAUUUUUUUUGUUUAUAAAUAAUUUAAAAAUAUAUAAAUCUUUCCAUAAUUUAUUUAUAUAAUGAUUUUUCUUUGUAUAUGAUACAAUAAACCAAACAAGGAAGUUUGAAUUAUUUCUUAUUUUACUUUUUUUUAGAUGGUUUGUGUAAGCCAACUAAAACCAUUUUAAUCAAGAUAUACAUAUCAUACGAACAAAUAAAUUAUAGAUUGCAUUUGUUUUGAAAAACAUUUUUUUUAAUCUAUAAUUAUUUAUUAUUAUUAUUAUUAUUAUUAUUAUCAUUAUUAUUAUUAUUAUUAUUAUUAUUAAAUUGCUUUUUGUUGAGAAAAAAGAUACUAUGACUCCCAAUUGAUGUUUUAAGUGAUUCACAACAUACAAGGGGUUGGUAUUCUAUUUUCAACUAUUCACAAAAUAUAUUUUUGUGUUUUUUUUAUGGAAAAUUCUGAAAUACCAACUUAGCUUAUCGUCAUGUCUUUUAUAAUCUCAAUUCUCAAAGUUUUAAAAAAAUUGGGAAACAACUUUGUCCCAUCCAGACCAAAAUAAUAAUCAUGUUUGCCCCCCAACUGCCGAAAUCAUCGGUUCAGCACUAUUGAUUGUCUUAAGUAACACGAUAACAAGUGAGAAUAAUAAUAAGGGUUUGCUAAAUAAUAUUUACAAAAAUAAUUUUAAAAUAAUUCUUAAAAGGAGUUGUCUAUGAAAAACAGUUUAUACGCGAGGCCAAAAUAACGUGUGAAAGAAUAUUUUAAAUUUAUUCUAAAAUAACGUGGAAGUAACCUAUAAGAAUUUUUCACAAUUGUUAGCUUUCUUCACGCAUUUGGUUUAUUUUAAUUUGGUAAUUGAUCAAAUAUCAUUAUUGUAUAUAGUGGUCCUGCUCAUUGAAGUGGUCAAAGAACAUUAAAAGCCAAUACACAUUCAAAUCACUUUCUCUUAUAUUGAAACGUGGAGAGGAAGAAUGGUAUCCCGACAGAAUUAUCAUGACUAUAUAAUGAAUCAUAUAUAUGAAAGAAACACAUCAAAAGGAGUAAGAAAAUUGAAGGAGUUCUGUUUAGGAAAAGAGAAGAGGCUUUUAUUCCAAAGAAGAUGUGGCUGAUCAUGAAGGUUUUCCUCUUACAAAUUUUAGUGUUUCAACUUUUUGGUGGUGGCAUCCAUUGCCAAGCUUCAACCCGUCGGCAAACUUUUGUGGUAAAUACUACAUAUGAUUAUGGCCUUAACGUCACCUUUUGAUUAUAAUAUUUCGGGAGCAGUAUGACUCUCAUUUUCCACAUUAGGACCCUUUACUCUAGUGUCGUUGAGUCGUUCAUGCAUGCUAUCAAAUUUUAAGUGGUUAUACACUUGCAUGAAUGGAUUGAUGCAACUAUUCAUGCAUGUAAUAUUUCUUUUGGGAUGAGGUUGCAUGGUUAACUUUUAAUUGGUUGCAGGUGAGGGAAGCUUCAUAUACAAGGCUUUGUAGCACCAAGAAAAUGUUAACAGUAAAUGGACAAUUUCCGGGACCAACUAUAUAUGCUACGAAAGGAGAGACGAUCAUUGUCGACGUUUAUAACAGGGGAAAAGAAAACGUCACCAUUCACUGGUAGGUCUUGAGUGUGUCUCAGAGAAAGAGCGUCGAAAACAUGCCUACAUGGCAUACAUUCUUUUAUUUCUAAGAGGGGGUUGCAAUAUAUUGCUUUGCAAAUAAAGUCAAAUUUAAAACAAUACUUUAGGGUUAUUUGCUUUAGUUCCAUUGAAAUACAGUAGAUGUUGCUUGUUACUAUGAUAAUAUGUUGCUACAUGCUAUCUUUUGUUAGUUCAAAAAUAAGUACUAGUUUUAACGUAUAGUUAUUGUUUUGUAGGCAUGGGGUGAACAUGCCUAGAUAUCCAUGGACAGAUGGUCCUGAGUAUAUCACACAAUGCCCAAUUUAGCCCGGGUCAAAGUUUAGUCAGAAGAUCAUCCUUUCCUCUGAGGAAGGCACUUUAUGGUGGCAUGCUCACAGCGACUGGACCCGAGCCACCGUUCAUGGAGCUAUAAUCGUCUAUCCCAAGAAUGGAACCAAGUAUCUUUUUCACAAACCUAAUGCAGAAGUUCUCAUCAUAUUAGGUAUAAGUGUUGUUACUUUUAAAUGUUAAUUUACAUAUUAUGAAUUAAUCAGCAUAGCAAAAUCUAAAAUUAUUGGAGUUGUUGAAAUGCAGGACAAUGGUGGAAGAUUGAUGUGAAUGCGAUUCGAGAUAAAGGGCUUGCAAGCGGAGCUGAUGCCAACGCCUCUGAUUCUUUAUUGAUAAAUGGACAACCCGGUGAUCUACUUCCAUGCUCAAAAUCAAGUACAAAUUAAGUUUAACUUCCCAUUUUAAAAUUGUACACAGUUUCAUUUUCUUGUAUGUUGACCAUAAUACUUUUUCUUAUUAACAUCGACAUAUCUAAAGCUUAAUGCUAAGAAAGAGGAAUAUAGUUACGAGAAUGGUAGAGCCAUGAUUUAACACAUGAGAAAAGGCUAGUUCAAAUAUAAUUUUGAAAUAUGGAGCCAAAUUUACACCCCUAAUCAAUCAAUCACUUCAUAAUUGGUGGAUCCUCAUGGAAACUUUUUCUUUUUCUUUUGGUUAGUCAUAAGUAUACAACUUUCCCUUUCUAAUUGCAGGCACAUUCAAGCUAACAGUGGAUCAUGAAAAGACCUAUCUACUUCGCAUAAUCAAUGCUGCCUUGCAUGAGCCUCUCUUCUUCUCCAUUGCCAAGCAUAAAAUGAUAGUGGUUGGAACAGAUGGUAGCUACACGAAACCAUUGACACGAGAUUAUAUCACAAUAUUUCCUGGCCAAACCUUCGAUGUCUUACUAGAAGCUAACCAACGCCCGGAUCACUAUUACAUGGCGGCUAAAACUUAUUCCGAUGCCCCGGCAGGUCGUAAUAGUUUUUAUAACACAACCACCACAGCUAUUGUAUAGUACAGGGGAUUCUACACUCCAUCUUCACCUCCCUUCUUGCCUCAUUUGCCUGCAUUCAAUGACACAAUUGCAUCGCUUCAGGUCAUGGCCACCCUCCGAAGCUUAGCAGAUGCGGAACAUCCUUGCAAUGUCCCAUUGAGCACGAGCACUAAACUGAUUUACACUGUUUCUGUAAACUCGUACCCAUGCGUCAAUGAUUCAUGUUCAAGUUCCAAUGGGUUGAGAUCCGCCGCAAGUACAAACAACAUAAGCUUUCAUACCCCUACAAUUGACAUACU